CUUCAACGUUCAAUCGGUACCUCUCAAGGUAUUGCUGAUCCAAAAUUUGUAUUUUUAUUCGCGGUGUGCACAUCUGUUUUCAUCUCUCUUUUACUUCCUUCGAAACCUUAGAGUUUGAAACACUAAGAGGAGCUACAAUGCUCAAAGCAAGAUUAGAAUGCAAAAACAAAUUAAAUGGAAGCACACCGAUACUACAAAUCGAGGAGAACAAUGAUUUUGAAUUCGAUUUUGAAAACUGCAGAUCCAUUCUUGCCAAGGGUUCUGGGCUCCAUGUCGAGACAUUAGACGGAGAGAAUUGGGGAUGCUAAACAUCAUGAUUCAGAGCCGCCAACUCCACAUUCACUUAUAAAAAUGGGUUGAAGAUAGUGUAGUAACAUGGAACAUCCAGAUGGAACACUGGCUAGUGUUGCCCAAUGCAUUGAGCAAUUGGGGCAGAAUUCUUCAUCUGUACAGGAACAAGAGUAAUCCUUGAAGCAGUUGCUCGAGCAUAUUGAUACACGCGAAAAUGUUUUCAGUGCUGUUGGAUCGCAUUCUCAGGCAGUUCCUGUACUCAUGUCUCCUCUUCAAUCAGGAUCACUUAGGGUAAAGAUGCAGGCUGCUACUGCUUUCAACUGAAGGAGUAGUGCCGGUACUAUGGGAGCAACUACAGAAGGGGCUAAAGGCUGGAAACGUUGUUAAUAACUUGCUGAUAGGAGCUUUAAGAAACCUUUCCAGCAGCAUUGAGGGAUUCUAGUCUGUAAUCUCUGUAAUCACAGUGACAAUAUAUGUGCAUGCAUUGAGAGUGUCGAUGUUGUUCCUGCUUUACUAUGGCUACUAAAGAAUGGUAGCUCAAAUGGGAAAGAAAUUGUCGUGAAGACAUUGAACCAUUUGAAGAUCUUAUUUUGCUCCGAUCUCCAAUCUCCCAAUCGCAUUGAAUAUUGAUAUAAGGAUAUUGAAAAGUAUGGCUUUGAAACAGGUCUUGUUUUGACCUCCCAACCUUGUAGUUUAGCUUUAAACACAGAUUAUUUGUUGUUGCUUAGGUUAAAUGUAACUUCAAUUAGCAUACCCUCACAAUCUCUCUUACUUUCGCAGA